UCAGUCCAACAUGGCGGCUGUUGACAGAUGAAGCACAGAGGAAGGAUUUUAAUCGAAAGGUUUCAUAUUUACGGGUUCUCAGGAGGUUGACUGCUGGGUUUCGGUUCGUUGAAGCUGCAGCCGGUUCGUCGAUUAGCUGAUUAUCCGGUCCUGUUCUGAUACUGAUGAAGAGGAUUCCAGUAUAAACCGGUCCUGAUCCAACUUCGGUGGACCCUGGUGGACCCUAGUGGACUGGAAGAGUCAUGGACAAGUUUGGGAUGAGUUUUGGCGGCGGUCCAAGCAGGAAGGAGCUGCUGGACACCGUGGAGUCCCAGAAGAAGCAGCUGGUCCAGUACCAGACCCGCUUCAAGGACGUGGUCCAGGCCUACAAGAGCCUGCUGAAGGAGAAGGAGGCUCUGGAGGCCAGUCUGAAGGUCCUGACGGCGACCCAGGAUGUGGACCUGAACCAGCAGGGCCGGGAUGCCCCGGAGCUCCCAGAGGACGGCUGCUCGCUGCACAGCGAGGACAGCGUGGAGACAGCAGCGUCCGUGGAGACGCCGAGCGAGACGGCCAGAGGGGACCAGAGCGAGGAGGACCAGGGAGAACCGGGACAGUCCAGUUCUACGCCUGACACCGGCGGCUCUGACAGCAGCGGCGUGGGGACGGAGCUGCAGCAGGCCACGCCCCCUCUCAGCACGGAGGCGGACCGCCGCGUCGCCCAUCUGAGGGGCCAACUGAGCACGCUCACUGGCGCCCUCGCUACGGUAACCCAGGAGAAGUCUCGCAUGGAAGCCAACUUCCUGGCCGACAAACGGCAGCUGAAACAGGAAGUGGAGGAGCUGCAGGAGCGGAUGGCUGUCAUGGCGACGCAGCAGGAGACGGAGCUGAACGCCCUGCAGCAGCAGGUGGCUGAGGCUCGCGCUCGCAUCAUCACACAGCAGCACGAGAGGGAGCAGGAGCAGGGAGACCAUGCCCAGCAGCUGAGGGAGCUGCAGAAGAUCCUGCAGCAGGAGAGAGACCUGCGACAGGACGCCGAGCUGCGCCUGCAGGACGCCAGCACCGCCCUCCUCAUGACAUCACAGGCUGUGGACCGGGGGGCGGAGUCCGAGGCGCACCUGAGCCAGGUGAGGGAGGAGAGGGACGAGCUGAGGAGGAGGCUGCAGGCCGCCGAGGACGAGCAGAAGAAACCGGAUCCCAGAGUGGAUGAGAUGCAUCAGCAGAUGAAGGAGAUGAAGGAGAGCUUCCAGCAGCAGAUCCUCAGCGAGACCCGCAAGGUGUGCGAGGCGGAGGAGCGUGCACGUGAGCGCGCUCAGUCUGCGGAGCUGCGGGUGGCUGGUCUGGAGCAGCGGGUGUCUGAGCUGUCGGAGCUGCUGGGAUCCUGCGAGAAGGCGAAGCAGCGAGACCAGCAGACCACCCAGAGGCUCCGAGACCGGAUCCUGCAGCUGGACACGGAGAACAAGACGCUGGCCAUCGCCGCCUCCAGCAGAACGUCCUCCGACCUCAGCCUGGACGAGUCCCAGCUGGACGUGGGCGUGCUGAAGGACAAGCUGCAGAAGGUGAAGAAGCUGCUGCUGCUGGCGUCUCAGAGAAACACCGACCCGAACAUCCAGGACCUGGCCGAGGCCGAGGAGGACGGCACGGUGGCGCUGGUCUACCAGCAGGAGCUCCGGCAGGUGAAGGAGGAGUUUGAGCGCUACAAGCUGCGGGCCCAGGUGGUGCUGAAGAACAAGAACGCCAAAGACGGCUGCCAGGCCAAGGAGCUGGAGGAGGUGAGGGACCAGCUGUCCGAGCUCCGGGAGAAGUACAUCAACCUGCGGAUCCAGAGCGACGAGGCCGAGGCUCGGCACCGGCAGCAGCUGGAGGAGCGACAGCAGCAGGCGACGGCGCUGCAGCACGCCCACAAACAGGAAGCGGAGCGGGCGGAGACACUGCACCGCGAAGAGCUGCUGCGUCUGGAGGCGGAGCUCCACAAGCAGCGGGAGAGGACCAUGGCGCUGCUGGACGAGAAGGACCAGGAGCUGGAGAGGCUGCGGGCCGCCGUCCUGACCUGCAGCUACAGCGCCGACGGCCCGGCCGACGACACGCAGCCGGCUGACCCGGAGAGCGAGGGUGACAUCAUCAGCCAGGCCCUGCGGCAGGCCACGCCCACUGAGUCCACGCUGCUGCUGUACGCCGAGCAGCUCGCCAGGAAGGAGGUGGAGGCGGGCGGCCUGCGGCGGCAGAAGAACCGGCUGGAGGAGGACGUCCACCAGCUGCAGGCCAAGCUCAUCGCCAACGGGGAGCGCCACGACGAGGAGGUAUCGGACCUGCGGGGGCGACUCGACAAGCUGGUCCGGGACCAGAGCAGAGAGGGCGCCAACAUGGAGUACCUGAAGAACGUCAUCUACAGGUUCCUCACGCUGCAGGACUCCAGCGGCAGGAGUCAGACGCUCAACGCCAUCCUCACCAUCCUGCACUUCAGCCCCCAGGAGAAACAUGACGUCAUGAGGCUGCAGGGGCCAAGCUGGUGGGGCCCCAACAGGAGGUAGAACGCCUGAGAGAGAACCUGGUGGGGCCCCAACAGGAGGUAGAACACCUGAGAGAGAACCUGGUGGGGCCUCAACAGGAGGUAGAACACCUGAGAGAGAACCUGGUGGGGCCCCAACAGGAGGUAGAACACCUGAGAGAGAACCUGGUGGGGCCUCAACAGGAGGUAGAACACCUGAGAGAGAACCUGGUGGGGCCCCAACAGGAGGUAGAACGCCUGAGAAAGAACCUGGUGGGGCCUCAACAGGAGGUAGAACGCCUGAGAAAGAACCUGGUGGGGCCUCAACAGGAGGUAGAACGCCUGAGAAAGAACCUGGUGGGGCCUCAACAGGAGGUAGAACGCCUGAGAAAGAACCUGGUGGGGCCUCAACAGGAGGUAGAACGCCUGAGAAAGAACCUGGUGGGGCCUCAACAGGAGGUAGAACACCUGAGAGAGAACCUGAUGGGGC